UACGAAGGGGGCUAGCGUUGUUCGGAAUUACUGGGCGUAAAGCGCACGUAGGCGGAUAUUUAAGUCAGGGGUGAAAUCCUGGAGCUCAACUCCAGAACUGCCUUUGAUACUGAGGAUCUUGAGUCCGGGAGAGGUGAGUGGAACUGCGAGUGUAGAGGUGAAAUUCGUAGAUAUUCGCAAGAACACCAGUGGCGAAGGCGGCUCACUGGCCCGGUACUGACGCUGAGGCACGAAAGCGUGGGGAGCAAACAGGG
rnacentral:rRNA from 1 species